rnacentral:lncRNA from 1 species
CUCUCCCAAAAUCUCCUCUCGGAUCUCUAAAUCCAUAGGCACACACAGUCGGUCCCUGUACCGCAGUACUUCCGAACUGUCCAUAGAAAAAGCCUCUGCCUGUCCCCUCUCUAACUGCUCUCGAAUCCUCAACAAAUGCGAGUCUCCACUCUGUUUCUCCCUAAUCCUGUCCAACAGAGUGGGCUGCAAGACUAUAGACAUCAGUCUCACAGUAGACCCAUGGGACACUACCUCGAGCCUCAAUCGCUGCAGCUCCUCAAGUAACGAUCUCUGUUGAGUAAUCAACAUUCUCAAGCUCUGCACUGACUUCCUACUCAACGCAUCUGCCACCACAUUCGCCUUGCCGG